ACGGGAGGCAGCAGUGGGGAAUAUUGCACAAUGGGGGAAACCCUGAUGCAGCGACGCCGCGUGAGUGAAGAAGUAUUUCGGUAUGUAAAGCUCUAUCAGCAGGGAAGAAAACAAUGACGGUACCUGACUAAGAAGCCCCGGCUAACUACGUGCCAGCAGCCGCGGUAAUACGUAGGGGGCAAGCGUUAUCCGGAUUUACUGGGUGUAAAGGGAGCGUAGACGGUAGACCAAGUCUGAAGUGAAAGCCCGGGGCUCAACCCCGGAACUGCUUUGGAAACUGGUAAACUAGAGUGCAGGA
rnacentral:rRNA from 1 species